rnacentral:rRNA from 1 species
GACGAACGCUGGCGGCGUGGAUUAGGCAUGCAAGUCGAACGGUAUCAUCCUUUCGGGGGUGAGAGAGUGGCGAACUGGUGAGUAACACGUAGGUUAUCUACCCUCAAGACGGGGACAACCCAGGGAAACUUGGGCUAAUACCGGAUGUGAGCAACUUUUAGUUGUUUGAAAGGUGGCGUAAGCUGUCGCUUGGGGAUGAGCCUGCGUCCUAUUAGUUAGUUGGUGAGGUAACGGCUCACCUAGGCAAUGAUAGGUAGGCGGCCUUAACGGGUGGUCGCCCACACUGGGAUUGAGAUACGGCCCAGACUCCUACGGGAGGCAGCAGUCGAGAAUAGUCUACAAUGGUCGGAAGACUGAUAGUGCGACGCCGCGUGAACGAUGAAUCCCUUCGGGGUGUAAAAGUUCUUUUAUAUGUGAGCAGUGCUUCUUAUAUUAACAGUAUGGGGAGAGAGAUAUUAGCAUAUGAAUAAGCAACGGCUAACUCCGUGCCCAGCAGCCGCGGUAA